rnacentral:misc_RNA from 1 species
UGACUCCUCCAGCCUAGCUGGGUGUUGGGCCGCGCCUCCGGGCGGGUCUUAAAACUAGUGGCGGUGCUUUCAGGCUCUACGCGUAGUAAUUUUUCUCGCUAUAGGGUCCUGGGAGAUGCUAGCCAGCAACCUCAAACUUUUUCA